rnacentral:lncRNA from 1 species
GGGGGGUGAAUUAGUGCAGCGGAAAUCUUUCAACUAUUAAAAUCGAAAGCUGCGUUCGUUCGAUAAAAAACGAUUUCGAUGUAAAAGCCGAUUCUAAGAUUACUUUAACUUAAGAUUAAGCAAGAUGACGUUAAAGUAAAUCUAUGAAGGCAGUUUGCAGUUUAUGAUGGAAAUCAGAAAGCAAGCGCAAACUAAAAUGCGACGUUCGUACGAUAAAACCAGUUUACGUCUAACUGCCGAUUCUGAAGAUACUGAACUUUG